UACGGAGGGUCCAAGCGUUAUCCGGAUUUAUUGGGUUUAAAGGGUCCGUAGGCGGAAAAAUAAGUCAGUGGUGAAAUCCUACAGCUUAACUGUAGAACUGCCAUUGAUACUGUUUUUCUUGAGUAUAAUUGAAGUGGGCGGAAUGUGUCAUGUAGCGGUGAAAUGCAUAGAUAUGACACAGAACACCGAUUGCGAAGGCAGCUCACUAAACUAUAACUGACGCUCAUGGACGAAAGCGUGGGGAGCAAACAGG
rnacentral:rRNA from 1 species